rnacentral:rRNA from 1 species
UACGGGGGGUGCGAGCGUUGUCCGGAAUCACUGGGCGUAAAGGGCGCGUAGGUGGUUUGAUAAGGGUGUGGUGAAAGUCCGGGGCUCAACCCCGGAUCUGCCGUGCCGACUGUCAAACUCGAGGGCUGUAGAGGCAGACGGAAUUCCGGGUGUAGCGGUGGAAUGCGUAGAGAUCCGGAGGAACACCUGUGGCGAAAGCGGCGCACUGGACCAUAACUGACGCUGAGGCGCGAAAGCUAGGGGAGCAAACAGG